GUUUCCCUUUCCCCUACAAAAUUUCCCAAAUCGUGUUUCAACCAUGAAUCCUCUACUCUGCCAGCCGAUUUACCAUCUCUUCUCUUUCAUUAAUGACGCAGGUCACACAGCUAAUUGUUACAAGAUAUAUAACCCUAUUUUCAUUUUUUUUGGCCGAUCAUCCAUGAUUUUAUUCACCAUUCAAUCUUCUAUACCAAAAAAAGAUUCAGUUUUGGUGCAUCUUAAAUUGCAUAUAAGGCAUUUGAUGAAAUGCCAUAAUGGAAAAUGUUACCAGGUGUACUUCAACCGUUGAAAUGAAGACAACCAUUUUAGAGUGUAUAUUCCAAGACCAUCAAUAUGAGGCAUCCAUUUUGCCUCGGGAUAUUUAGCAGAAAGAGGAAAUUCUUGUGAGUGUUGCCAUAUUAUCAUGUGCCGAUUUAAAUGACAUUUUUAUGUGGAGGAAUAAGGUGCAAGAAAGUUAUUCAAAUUGGAGUUUAAAGCUUACAGCCGAGUUUUUUAAGUAUUAGGUCUUCAAGUACAGAUACAGCUCAUCUUCAUCUUCAUUCCCGCAACAAUAGAGUAGAAACAUUAGUGAAAGUUUGAUUCAGUGAUGGUGGCUGCCGUCUUUGGUGUCGUUUCUGUCAUUAAGAGAAAGAUCCAAGACUAAGUUCAAGGCUCGUGAUUGUGCUCGAUGAUGGUCGCUGCAACGUUAAAUGGUUUCGUUACUCAAGACUUUUGCCUUUCAUUCUCCUACUAUUGUGAUUGCCUUCCCUCAAUGGAUGGGUCAUUUGAUGUAAAUUGAUGCUUUCUAGCCACAACAUCCUUUUUGUACCUCAAGUGUAGUAAUUGUAAUAUGGUUUUGGUCCGCAUUAACUUGGUCAGAUGCUUAGUUUAUCAAACUAUGAUGAUUUAUAUUUUUAACCUGGAUUUACAUAAAAGUUGUAUUAAUUAAUUCAUUAUCUCA